UACGAAGGGGGCUAGCGUUGUUCGGAAUCACUGGGCGUAAAGGGCGCGUAGGCGGCUUUGUAAGUCGGGGGUGGAAAGCCUGUGGCUCAACCACAAGAAUUGCCUUCGAUACUGCAUGGCUUGAGACCGGAAGAGGUAAGUGGAACUGACGAGUGUAGAGGUGAAAAUUCGUAGAUAUUCGCAAGAACACCAGUGGCGAAGGCGGCUUACUGGUCCGGUUCUAGACGCUGAGGCGGCGAAAAGCUAGGGGAGCAAACGGG
rnacentral:rRNA from 1 species